rnacentral:rRNA from 1 species
CACGUAGGGUGCGAGCGUUGUCCGGAAUUAUUGGGCGUAAAGAGCUUGUAGGCGGUCUGUCGCGUCUGCUGUGAAAAUCCGGGGCUCAACCCCGGACUUGCAGUGGGUACGGGCAGACUAGAGUGUGGUAGGGGAGACUGGAAUUCCUGGUGUAGCGGUGAAAUGCGCAGAUAUCAGGAGGAACACCGAUGGCGAAGGCAGGUCUCUGGGCCACUACUGACGCUGAGAAGCGAAGGCAUGGGGAGCGAACAGG